rnacentral:tRNA from 1 species
CGCCGCAGGGCGGCCGGGGCCAGUGCGGCGCUUCGGCCGCGCCCGGUGCGUCGGCGCCGUCCGGCCCGGGGUCAUCCCUCGGCUCGGUGC